rnacentral:misc_RNA from 1 species
CUGGAACUCACCGUACCGGCGAAAAGGAAAGCACACGGCAGCAGGCGAAUGGCGUUUCGAAUUCCAGACGACGAUGGCACCGACGAGUACGUCGUCACGCUGCGCGGCCCGGUACUGACAGCCGCGGAGGAGCAGAAGAAGUGGCUGCAGGAGGCCCUCAUCGCCGUAGACCGCAAAGCUGCCAUCAUGCGCAGCAGCAUGGAGAGUCAAGACAGCAUGGCGGUGGUGAUUCGCGCCGCUGCGCAGAUGCUGGAUGAGCUGCGCACGAACCUGCUGGAGCCGCAAAACUACUACGAGCUCUACAUGAAGGUGUUCAGCAUGAUGGAGGUGUUUGUGGCGUACCUCGAGGACGAACACCGCGCGAAGCGACACACCCUCGAGGAGAUGUAUGAGCGGGUGCAGUUUUGCGGUUACAUUGUACCUCGCCUGUACCUGCUGAUUGCGGCCGGUGCGGUGUAUAUCGAUGCCGGAGAUCAGCCCGCCCUCGAGAUCGCGCGAGACUUGGUAGAGAUGUGCAAGGGUGUGCAGCACCCGACCCGUGGGCUGUUUCUACGCCAUUUCCUGUUGACAAUGAUGAAGGGCAAGCUGCCAGGUGACCCAAACCGCCGGGUCAGCGACGUCGGCAACGAGUCCGCAGGGGAGGCGCAGGAGGAGUAUCCGCACAAGGAGGAUGGCGGCACGGUGACGGACACCGCGAAUCUGCUCGUGCAGAACUUCAAGGAGAUGAACUGGUUGUGGAUUCGCAUGGAGGCUGGGAGCUACACCAACCGCAACGGCGGCAGCACGAACAGUGUCACCGCCUGCAGUCCGACUACUGCCGCGCUGCCAGCCACCUCGCCUCCUCCGGCUGCGUCGGCUGCCGCGUCGUCAUGGUCGUCAGACGCCGCCACACGCCCGGGCUCUCCGCCGCGGUCGCUUCGCGCAGCACGUCGCACGCAGCAGGAGCGCCGCGCCAUGUGUGUCUUGGUCGGCAUGAACGUUGUCCGCGUGGCACAGCUGGACGGCAUCAGUCGCGACGUCUAUGCAAGCACCAUAUUGCCGCAGCUCCUGUCCAUCAUGGUACGCUACUGCGAGCCGUUGGCGCAGCAGUACCUCUUCGAGGUGCUCAUACAAGUCUUCCCGGACGAGUUCCAUCUCUUCACAAUUGACAAGCUCUUCGGCGCCAUCAGUCGCACCGUCCCUGGCGUCGAGGUGUCGGAGCUGUUCCGCUCGCUGAUGGAGAGACUCUGCAAGUACGCCGUGGCCGUGCAGGAAGGCGUGACGGAAGUGUCGAGUCCUGAAGAAGAGGCGAAGCUCCGUGAUGUAUUCCCGAUGCUGCUCAACCAAAUGAGUUGCAUGUCCGUCUCGUACAGCGCGCAAAUGUCUACCACCACUGUGAUCAAGCGCACAUCGACGGUGCCGCCGCCGACGCCGAUGAUGCUGGGUGCGUACGUGACGACCAUGCGGCACCUUGUGAACGUGGUCAUGACGCUCUACGGGAAGUCGGCGAAGCGCCGCUUCAUGUCGCUGUCGAACAUUGUCGACGUUGUGGCCUCCAAGUUCCCUUCGGCGGUCGUGGACUCGUCAGAGUCGAAAGAGUCGACGGGCGUGGUCGAGACUGCGGCGGCGUCGGCGGAGACGUCGACACCAGUCUCCAUCAGCCCAGCUGCGGCCCUUGCCGCAGGUCAGUUCCUCGUGCACAUCAUUACGGAGUGUUGUGCGACGGUGCAGGAAGUAAUGGCCAUGGAAGGCAUUGCGGCGCUCACAUCGUGUCUGCCGUUCUUGCAGAGGCGCGAGGUGGCCAUGGCGGUGUGCGAGGUCGCCCUGCGUGGCAGCACGGCCGCGCCGGUGCUGCCGUCCGUUAGCAAGGCAGCAAGUAGCGGCGCCGGUGGUGGUGUUUUGAAGCCAACGGUGGUGGUCACGGUGCCGCCGCCUUUGCCGCGUCCUAUAACGGCUCUGGAGGACGUCGCGCGCCUCUUCGAGCUGCUGGACCCGAUCCUUGUCGAGCAGCCCGACGCCCCAUCCGACCUGCGGCUUAUCUACAAGUACAACCCGGCCGUGGAGUUCGUCGACGAGCAGAACCUCGUGUGCCGCAUACUUCACCUCCUCGCCAACGACGACCCGGCCGUCUAUGCAAAGAUGUUGACCGGCGUACGUAAGGUUCUCCUGCAGGGAGGCGCGCGGCGCAUCCCGCUCACCUACCCGACCCUGAUGACGCUGCACCGACGCGCAGCGCUGCGGCUCUAUGCCCAGUAUCAGCGCGUCUCCUCCUCGAGUGCCAAGUCCGACGAGGGCGAAAGGGACGGCGACGAGGCUGAUACAGCGGCGGCGGCGGCGUCGCAGGCGAUGAAGGCUAUCCGCAAGUGUUUUAGUCAUGUGCACUCGGGUGACAGCAAGGGCAUCCUCGAAGUGUUCGCGGUCGAGGCACCCACGGAGGCGCUCAAGGAGUACCUCUUCUGCUCCAACACGGCCGAUGUAUGCGAGCAAUCAGAGACCAGCUAUGCGCUCUACGCCGAGGCGCUGACGCUGUACGAAGGUCACAUUGAGGAGAGUCACGAGCAGAUCGACGUUCUCGUCGCCUGCGUGAAUGCUCUGUGCCAGAUGCGCAACAUGCCGGAGGAGAACUACGAAGUGCUGGCCGCGAAGGUGUGUCAGUACGCGUCAAAAAUGCUCAAGAAGCACGACCAGAGCUACCUCGUCGCCGUCUGCGCCGCGCUCUUCGCUAAGAAGCAGCUCUCGCGCGAGAACCAGCAGCGUGUGCAGGAGUGCCUGCGGCGGUCGCUGAAGCUGGCGGGGCAGGUUCUCGCCCUCGCACAACUGCAGCUGUACGUGCAGCUGCUGAACAUCUUUCUGCACUUCUUCACAUCCAAGAGCGGCUACUUGGUGUCCGUCGAACUCGUGAAUGAGCUGAUAGAAAAGAUCUCCGAGGCGAGCGAGGUGCAGCGCAGUGAAGUCGGCGGUGACGGCAAAAACAGCACCGCCGAUGACGACGACAGCGACAACGCAGCCAACACGUUCGCCAAAAUCCGCCUUGUCUAUCGCAACAUCACAAAGUACAUCCGCUCUCGUCAGAGUGCCGAGGAGCGGUGGAACGAAAUCGACGUGUGAGCGGGGCGCGCGCUGUGUGUGCUUGUGAGAAAGAGGGAGGGAGGAAGAUGGGCUGAUUAAUACCGAGCCUUUUAUCGUGUAUGCGAGUUCGUGUGUCUAUGUCUGUGUCUGCAUGCGUUCGUGUGUGUGUGUGUGUGUGCAUGAGUGCGGCUCGGCUUUCGAGCCCGAGUCCCUUCUUCCCUUCGUGUGGCGUGAUGUGCACGGCCGUAAAGGCCGAGAGGUGCGCGCACAGGCACACGCACGCACACAGAGUAUUGACUUGCUCUCUCUCUACUUUGUUGUUUCGGGUGCUCUCGGUGUGCGUGACGCCUACACCCUCUGUAACGGACCUCUUUUCUUGUUUCCCCUCCGUGUGUGCGCGUGCGUGCGUGCGGGUGUGUGGGGGGUGGGGGGGGUCGCCUUCGAUGGCAGCAUACACACUCACACAUGUCACCACCCCGCCCCUUCCACGUUGUCCCGCCUCCCCCUCUUUUGUUUUCUGUGCCUUGCUUGCUGUCUUCUUCUCCGGUCGCUUUGUGCGGAGACACACGCUCGUACCUCUUCCCCGUCCACUCAACCGACACGCACCUCGCAGACCCGUCCUUUGGCCAAGUUUGUAUCUGUACCUGUGUGUCUGUGCGUGUGUGUGUGCGUCUCAUUCCGCCUACUCACCCGCCCUUGCCUCGCCGUCACUGUAGCCACAGCCGCGCACGCGCAAGACGAGAGAGAGGAGGGGAAGGGGUGGACCAUGUGCGUGCUCACGAGUCGCUUGCUUCCGCCCAGCCCACCGGUUCGCACAAGGACACCCCGCGAAGUCCCCUUCGUGCAAGUUCUCCGUGGCCCAGCGGACCCUGCCCUCUUGGCAUUGUCUGUGUCCUCUCGUUCUCACGCGCCUGUCAAGCCUCCUCCCUCUUUCCCUCCCGCUCUCUGCCGCAG